rnacentral:tRNA from 1 species
UGGAGGUAUGGGGAUUCGAACCCUAGACUUCUCGCAUGCAAAGCGAGCGUUCUACCCCUAAGCUAUACCCCC